UGAAAUCCCAGAGCUUAACUCUGGAACUGCCUUCAAAACUUUUUAACUAGAGUGUGAUAGAGGAAAGUAGAAUUUCUAGUGUAGAGGUGAAAUUCGUAGAUAUUAGGAAGAAUACCAAUUGCGAAGGCAACUUUCUGGAUCAUUACUGACACUGAGGUGCGAAAGCAUGGGUAGCGAAGAGGAUUAGAUACCCUCGUAGUCCAUGCCGUAAACGAUGUGUGCUAGACGUUGGAAAUUUAUUUUCAGUGUCGCAGCGAAAGCAUUAAGCACACCGCCUGGGGAGUACGACCGCAAGGUUAAAACUCAAAUGAAUUGACGGGGACCCGCACAAGCAGUGGAGCAUGUGGUUUAAUUCGAAGAUACGCGCAGAACCUUACCAACACUUGACAUGUUCGUCGCGACUUUAAGAGAUUAAAGUCUUCGGUUCGGCCGGACGAAACACAGGUGCUGCAUGGCUGUCGUCAGCUCGUGUCGUGAGAUGUUGGGUUAAGUCCCGCAACGAGCGCAACCCUUACUUUUAGUUGCCACCAUUUAGUUGAGCACUCUGAAAGAACUGCCAGUGAUAAGCUGGGGGAAGGUGGGGACGACGUCAAGUCCUCAUGGCCCUUACGUGUUGGGCCACACACGUGCUACAAUGGCAUUCACAAUAGGAAGCAAAGAGGCGACUCUAAGCAAAUCCUUAAAAAGUGCCUCAGUUCGGAUUGUACUCUGCAACUCGAGUACAUGAAGCUGGAAUUGCUAGUAAUCGCGGAUCAGCGCGCCGCGGUGAAUACGUUCCCGGGUCUU
rnacentral:rRNA from 1 species